AAGCCAUGAUGGGGACAUAUGAAUAACAAAUCUUUAAACCUAUCCCAUGUUUGGAAAAAGGUUUCAUUUUCUUUACAUGCAAAGUUCAUGAUUUGAUUUUGAAAUGC